AGUGAACGCUGGCGGUAGGCCUAACACAUGCAAGUCGAACGGCAGCACAGUAAGAGCUUGCUCUUACGGGUGGCGAGUGGCGGACGGGUGAGGAAUACAUCGGAAUCUACUUUUUCGUGGGGGAUAACGUAGGGAAACUUACGCUAAUACCGCAUACGACCUACGGGGGAAAGCAGGGGAUCUUCGGACCUUGCGCGAUUGAAUGAGCCGAUGUCGGAUUAGCUAGUUGGCGGGGUAAAGGCCCACCAAGGCGACGAUCCGUAGCUGGUCUGAGAGGAUGAUCAGCCACACUGGAACUGAGACACGGUCCAGACUCCUACGGGAGGCAGCAGUGGGGAAUAUUGGACAAUGGGCGAAAGCCUGAUCCAGCCAUACCGCGUGGGUGAAGAAGGCCUUCGGGUUGUAAAGCCCUUUUGUUGGGAAAGAAAAGCAGCAGGUUAAUACCACGCUGUUCUGACGGUACCCAAAGAAUAAGCACCGGCUAACUUCGUG
rnacentral:rRNA from 1 species